CAGGACGAACGCUGGCGGCGUGCCUAAUACAUGCAAGUCGAACGCUUCUUUCCUCCCGAGUGCUUGCACUCAAUUGGAAAGAGGAGUGGCGGACGGGUGAGUAACACGUGGGUAACCUACCCAUCAGAGGGGGAUAACACUUGGAAACAGGUGCUAAUACCGCAUAACAGUUUAUGCCGCAUGGCAUAAGAGUGAAAGGCGCUUUCGGGUGUCGCUGAUGGAUGGACCCGCGGUGCAUUAGCUAGUUGGUGAGGUAACGGCUCACCAAGGCCACGAUGCAUAGCCGACCUGAGAGGGUGAUCGGCCACACUGGGACUGAGACACGGCCCAGACUCCUACGGGAGGCAGCAGUAGGGAAUCUUCGGCAAUGGACGAAAGUCUGACCGAGCAACGCCGCGUGAGUGAAGAAGGUUUUCGGAUCGUAAAACUCUGUUGUUAGAGAAGAACAAGGACGUUAGUAACUGAACGUCCCCUGACGGUAUCUAACCAGAAAGCCACGGCUAACUACGUGCCA
rnacentral:rRNA from 1 species